UUUCAGGUUUUGUCCAGGGCUAACAUACAUUCUUUUAGGCUAAUUACUAAAUCAAUCUAACGAUGGUUCAUGUGGCAGCAGAGGUGUAGCAACAGCAGUUUGAAGCAGAUUAGGCGCCCGCGGGCGUCAAUGACGGCGAGGCUGUUGAGUGAAGGAAAUGGCGGGAAUGAAACCAUCUAGUUGGGGUGGUCUGCAGCUCUGGUCGCCUCCAGCAGCACCACAUAAUAAAAGUUCCAAAUAGUAGUGUUGCAUUGCUGCCUCCAGCCAACCACAACAUAAUCAUUGGAUGUGUUUCUUAUGUAGAAGAUUUGAGUGAUCUGCACGCACCAACUUGUUGUAGGGGGACACCAUGGAAGGUGUACAAAAUUAGCAAUGGAUCUCUAGGCUGGUGAUGACCAAGUAAAUUCGUUUCAGUGGAUUUGGGGCUGUACGUUCAUUCCAAAGCGUGAUUGAAAAGAUAUAUGGAUGAUUAUAUGGGUGUAUAACAAGUAUACUGCAAUGAUGAUGAUGAUCAUCAUCAUCAUCAUGAUGAUGCUGAUGAUAUUCUGGUUCAUGACGAUGGAUGCUUUCAAUUUUAGUUAAGUUGUGGGAUGUUCAUGUUGGACGAUGUUCCUCAGUUAGUUUUAAUUAAGUUGUAGGGAUGUUGAUGGAUGAUUUUAGUUUAGAUUUUGCUGUCGAGAAAAUAUUAGAUUAUGCAUCACAUUUGGAUGAUGUUCCUCCUGUAAUAUCCAUUGUUGUAAUCCAACAGUUUUAUCCAAUAUAUGAUUUCUUCUUUUGUGAGUA